GACGAACGCUGGCGGCGUGCUUAACACAUGCAAGUCGAACGGAAAGGCCCUGCUUUUGUGUGGUGCUCGAGUGGCGAACGGGUGAGUAACACGUGAGUAUCCUGCCCUUGACUUUGGGAUAACUUCAGGCAACUGGGGCUAAUACCGGAUAGGAGCUCCUGCUGCAUGGGGGGGGUUGGAAAGUUUCGGCGGUUGGGGAUGGACUCGCGGCUUAUCAGCUGGUUGGGGGGGGAGUGGCUUACCAAGGGUUUGACGGGUAGCCGGCAUGAGAGGGUGGACGGCCACAUUGGGACUGCGAUACGGCCCAGACGCCUACGGGAGGCAGCGGUGGGGAAUAUCGCCCAAUGGGCGGAAGCCUGAUGCAGCAGCGCCGCGUGCGGGAUGACGGCCUUCGGGUGGGAAACCGCAUUAGCCUGUGACGAAGCGUGAGUGACGGUAAUGGGUAAAGAAGCACCGGCUAACUACGUG
rnacentral:rRNA from 1 species